CCUCACUAUACCAUUCUCCAUCACUUUGAUACCCAAAAGCAACCAAACCCCUUUUGCUUUUUCUCCUCAAAAUUCCAAUCUUUAGAACCUUAUCAGCAAAAUUCCCAUCUUUCACUCUCAUCUCACAUGAACCCUUCAAGGGUUAAGCAUUCAGGUGAACCAGAUCUGAGGUUGUGAAUGAUUUUGGGAGUUUUUGGGGUUGUCCUUCAUGAGGUUCUUUUUAAACCUUAAGUUAGAAUUAGGGUAAAACAAACUUAGAUUGUGUUGUAUAUGAAGUUUCUUGAGUAGUAGUGUAGUUUUGAGUUGUUUCUGAGAGAUAUUACUUAGGACAUUUGGCUUAAUUGUGGUGGAGAAGUGGAAAGGUUUGAAAAUGCAGAGACCACCUCAAGAAGAUUUUUCAUUAAAGGAGACCAAACCCCACCUUGGUGGAGGGAAGGUUACGGGUGAUAAGCUUACUAGCACCUAUGACUUGGUUGAGCAAAUGCAGUAUCUUUAUGUUCGGGUGGUUAAAGCAAAGGAUUUACCAGGGAAGGAUGUUACGGGUAGUCUUGAUCCUUAUGUUGAGGUUAGGCUGGGAAACUAUCGGGGUACAACUCGUCAUUUCGAGAAGAAAUCGAAUCCUGAAUGGAAUCAGGUGUUUGCUUUUUCCAAGGAGCGGAUUCAGGCUUCUGUACUUGAGGUGAAUGUGAAAGAUAAGGAUUUUAUUAAGGAUGAUUUUGUUGGUCGUGUUAUGUUUGAUUUGAAUGAGAUCCCUAAAAGAGUUCCCCCGGACAGUCCUCUUGCUCCGCAGUGGUAUAGGUUGGAGGAUAGAAGUGGUAACAAAGUGAAAGGAGAGUUGAUGUUGGCUGUUUGGAUGGGUACUCAAGCUGAUGAAGCCUUUCCUGAAUCUUGGCAUUCGGAUGCGGCUACUGUUAGUGGUGCUGAUGCUCUUGCAAAUAUAAGGUCUAAGGUGUACCUCUCACCAAAGCUGUGGUACCUUAGAGUUAAUGUGAUUGAGGCUCAGGACUUGAUUCCCAGUGACAGAAGUAGGUUUCCAGAGGUUUACGUGAAGGCCAUCCUGGGAAAUCAGGCAUUGAGAACCAGAGUUUCCAUGAGCAAGACUAUUAAUCCCAUGUGGAAUGAGGAUCUGAUGUUUGUAGCAGCAGAACCAUUCGAGGAGCCAUUAAUUUUGAGUGUGGAAGAUAGAGUUACUGCAGCAAACAAGGAUGAAGUACUUGGAAGAUGUGUUAUUCCUUUGCAGUAUAUUGAUAGGAGGUUUGACCACAGACCUAUUAACAGUAGGUGGUAUAAUCUUGAAAAGCACAUUAUUGUUGAGGGAGAAAAGAAGAAAGAAAUCAAAUUUGCUAGCAGGAUUCACAUGAGGCUUUAUUUAGAAGGAGGGUACCAUGUACUGGAUGAAUCAACACACUACAGCAGUGAUCUUAGACCAACUGCAAAGCAGCUGUGGAAGUCCAGUAUAGGUGUCCUAGAAUUGGGUAUUCUGAAUGCUCAGGGCCUUUCGCCGAUGAAAACAAAGGAUAAUCGGGCAACGACAGAUGCCUAUUGUGUUGCGAAAUAUGGGCAGAAGUGGGUCCGAACGAGGACCAUUAUAGAUAGCUUUGCUCCCAAGUGGAACGAGCAAUACACUUGGGAAGUAUUUGAUCCCUGCACUGUCAUAACUAUUGGUGUAUUUGAUAAUUGUCAUCUGCAUGGAGGAGAUAAACCUGGAGGGUCUAGGGACUCGAGGAUUGGAAAGGUCAGAAUCCGUCUUUCAACUCUCGAAACAGAUCGUGUUUACACACAUUCUUAUCCACUGCUGGUCUUGCAUCCUACUGGGGUAAAGAAGAUGGGUGAAAUUCACUUGGCAGUAAGAUUUACUUGCUCAUCGUUAAUGAAUAUGAUGCAUAUGUACUCUCAGCCACUGUUACCCAAAAUGCACUAUAUUCAUCCUUUAACUGUUACUCAGCUGGACAGCUUGAGGCAUCAGGCCACUCAGAUUGUCUCUAUGAGGCUGAGUCGUGCUGAGCCACCUUUGAGGAAAGAGAUAGUGGAGUAUAUGUUAGAUGUUGGUUCUCACAUGUGGAGUAUGAGGAGAAGCAAAGCUAAUUUUUUUAGGAUUAUGGGUGUUUUAGGUGGAUUAAUAGCUAUUGGAAGAUGGUUUGAUCAAAUAUGCAACUGGAAAAAUCCCAUCACAACUGUUCUUAUCCAUAUCUUGUUCUUGAUACUGGUUCUAUAUCCGGAGCUUAUUCUGCCAACCAUUUUCCUAUAUCUCUUCCUAAUUGGAGUUUGGUACUACAGAUGGAGGCCUAGGCAUCCUCCUCACAUGGAUACUCGUCUUUCUUGUGCUGAUAAUGCUCAUCCUGAUGAACUGGAUGAGGAAUUUGACACUUUCCCUACUUCACGUCCUCCUGAUAUUGUUCGUAUGAGGUAUGACCGUUUGAGAAGCAUUGC
rnacentral:misc_RNA from 1 species